CCUACGGGUGGCAGCAGUGAGGAAUAUUGGUCAAUGGGCGGGAGCCUGAACCAGCCAAGUCGCGUGAGGGAAGACGGUCCUAUGGAUUGUAAACCUCUUUAGGCGGGGAGCAAUGCCGGGCACGUGUGCCCGGAGGGAGAGUACCCGCAGAAUAAGCAUCGGCUAACUCCGUGCCAGCAGCCGCGGUAAUACGGAGGAUGCGAGCGUUAUCCGGAUUUAUUGGGUUUAAAGGGUGCGUAGGCGGAUUUUUAAGUCAGCGGUAAAAGGUCCGGGCUCAACCCGGGCCGGCCGUUGAAACUGGGGAUCUUGAGUGGGCGAGAAGUAUGCGGAAUGCGUGGUGUAGCGGUGAAAUGCAUAGAUAUCACGCAGAACUCCGAUUGCGAAGGCAACAUACCGGCGCCCGACUGACGCUGAGGCACGAAAGCGUGGGGAUCGAACAGGAUUAGAUACCCUGGUAGUC
rnacentral:rRNA from 1 species